rnacentral:miRNA from 1 species
CCAGGUCCCGUCGGUACGAGAAGCC